rnacentral:rRNA from 1 species
AACGAACGCUGGCGGCAGGCUUAACACAUGCAAGUCGAACGGGUGUAGCAAUACAUCAGUGGCAGACGGGUGAGUAACACGUGGGAACCUUCCUAGGGGUACGGAACAACUCAGGGAAACUUGAGCUAAUACCGUAUACGUCCGUGAGGAGAAAGAUUUAUCGCCCUUAGACGGGCCCGCGUCGGAUUAGGUAGUUGGUGGGGUAACGGCCUACCAAGCCUACGAUCCGUAGCUGAUCUUAGAGGAUGAUCAGCCACACUGGGACUGAGACACGCCCGAGACUCCUACGGGAGGCAGCAGUGGGGAGUCUUGGACAAUGGGCGCAAGCCUGAGCCAGCCAUGCCGCGUGAGUGAAGAAGGCCUUAGGGUUGUAAAGCUCUUUUACCAGGGACGAUAAUGACGGUACCUGGAGAAUAAGCCCCGGCAAACUUCGUGCCAGCCGCCGCCGUAACAC